UACGUAGGGGGCAAGCGUUGUCCGGAUUUAUUGGGCGUAAAGAGCGUGUAGGCGGCCAGACAGGUCCGUUGUGAAAACUGGAGGCUCAACCUCCAGACGUCGAUGGAAACCGUCUGGCUAGAGUCCGGAAGAGGAGAGUGGAAUUCCUGGUGUAGCGGUGAAAUGCGCAGAUAUCAGGAAGAACACCCGUGGCGAAAGCGGCUCUCUGGGACGGUACUGACGCUGAGACGCGAAAGCGUGGGAGCGAACAGG
rnacentral:rRNA from 1 species